GGGGGUGGGGGCGGUCAUGGGGAGACGAGGAGGAGGGGCAGCAGGAGGCGGUGGGUGGUAUGGCCAUAGCAGCGCCCCCUUUCUAUCGUAGAACAACCACGCGGACGGCCGCCGUGCAACACUCCUUACCCUCGCCUCUGGCAUAGCCGCCGGGAUGCAAUUGCCUACCUGGCCUUCCUACUACAACAACCCCCAGGAUGCAACCGCCGUGCAGCACUCCUCACUGUCAAUACCGUCCACGGCGACCAUAGCCACUCCCUCACGCAUUGAAGAGGAUGUUCCUCCGUCGCUUCCCUUGCCAUCGAAGUUAUCGUUUCGUCGCCGUCCACUUCCGCAUGGUCUGCAUCCUCACAGCUCCCUUUCCUCUCCUGCAAGAACCUAAGAUCUGAAGAUGUCACUGCAACUACAAGUGAAAGGAUCCAAGAUCCUCACCAACGUACUUGCUUGAUGCUUUACAAUUACUGCUACGCUUGUAGAUAUAUAGAUAUACUUGGCUUGAAGUUGAAUUUCUACUAGUGUUGUUGGCUUGUUGCUGUACUCUUUCAUGGGUAUUGUCCAAUAGUAAUAUUCCAUGGGUAAUGUUCAAUAGCAUUUAUGGAACAGGAAAGAAUGCUAUUUAUAAAAUUAACUGACCAGGAUACUGAAGAUGUCUUGCUUGUGCUGCACAUACACAGGUAGUUUGUUUCUUUCUGUAACUAAAACGUUGAGUUUACUGAAUCUUGUGUCUUUCUGUAACUGAAACGUUGCGUUUACUGAAUCUUGUUUCUUUCUGUACACUGGCUAGUGAUCCUCGGCUGUACAUAUACUGCAGUAGUUUGUGUCUUUCUACGACUGAGAGAAGUAGACAAACAUCAUCGGCUGCACUAAAUAGUGUUAUUUCGUACGAAUGUAUUGAUGUUUCCCUGUCAAGUUGGCCUAUGUGGGUGUAUGCCAUGGCCAGGGACUGGUGUCAACUGACACAAGUCAUAUCUUGCAAUUUCUUCAUAAAUCUGUGUUAAUUACUGUCCAUAUACGUAUGCUGACCCCUUUGCAAUGAAGGCUGACACUAUAGUAGUUUUUGUCUAGCUUCGUCCCUGGCCAUGGCGGCUGCGACCACGACCACAACUCCUGUAUUUUUGUAUUUUGGAGUGUCCCACGUUUUGUGUAAAUAGUCCCAAGUUUUCUUUUUGACUAUGUAAAAUAUUACCAAGUUAAUAUCAGAACCACUGUCCUAUACUGAACCAUACUGCCACAUUCAGCGUAUUUGACCUUGGUAGUUUGCUUACCACAUUCAGGCUACAUUUGAUUUCAUUUAAUCUCUAAAGCCUAGCUUAUUUUUGCUUACAACAGCUUCUGUAUAGACUUGAAUAGAUAUUUUUCCGGUCACUUUUUUAUGCCUGCUUUAAGUACCGCAUUUCUUCUGAAAUUGACUGAAAUUAUGAUAUUACUUACAGGAGGGCACGGUGAUGAAUUCAACGCAAUAUCCUGCUAAUAGCAGAUCGAGUACAAUACACGGCAACUUGAUAAUAAUAUUUAUGUUCACUUCAAUAGCUAGGGAUGCGUCAGGUAAUGUGCACGCUUCAGAGGAAAGAGAUGAUGCACAUUACUCCUUUCUGCAAGUAAAGAAAGGAUUUGUUCCCAUAACAAGGAUGGAAAGUAUUUGCCAAAAAAAACAAGGAUGGAAAGUAUAACAGCUUACAAAAACCAACGUGGACAACACAGAUCUGGAACUCGAGUAAAUCAUACUCACAAAUAAGUUUUUGAGAAGAGAGACUUGGAAACCAGAGAAGAGGAGCGAAGAUCAAGACUAGAAUUUGAAAAAAAACAUGAUGGCAAAGUUUACAGAAUUGAGCCAACAGAUGGGAACCCAACAGCUGAUUACAUUCAUAUGCUUGUGACCUUGUAAGAUUUAUGUUGCUUAAUUGCAUUGCUAAAAGUGCACUUCUAUUUUCAGGUGCUAACGAAGAGGAUUAACAAAGGAAAUAGUAUCCAAACUUGCAAAAUACUCUUUUACAUAGAUCUACUCCUAAUAAGACUCCAGUUGCAAGGCCAACUGUUAUUUCUUCAAAUGCUCUCAUACAAGUUGCAACGAGGAAUUCUCGAAUGUUUAAAGCAAUGGAUCCAAAGAACUAGCUGGACUGGACUCUAGAUCAUGGACAGUUUAGUUUGGCACUUAAUUAGGAUGGCUAAAUUACAUCUGAGUUUCAUUUGAUGGAUAUUUGCUAUGAGAAUUAUGAAUUUAUGAAUGUACAUAUUAUAUGUA